rnacentral:rRNA from 1 species
UACGUAGGGGGCAAGCGUUGUCCGGAUUUAUUGGGCGUAAAGAGCUCGUAGGCGGUUUGUCGCGUCUGCUGUGAAAACCGGAGGCUCAACCUCCGGCCUGCAGUGGGUACGGGCAGACUAGAGUGCGGUAGGGGAGAUUGGAAUUCCUGGUGUAGCGGUGGAAUGCGCAGAUAUCAGGAGGAACACCGAUGGCGAAGGCAGAUCUCUGGGCCGUAACUGACGCUGAGGAGCGAAAGCUAGGGUAGCAAACGGG